UUAAGUUCAGCGGGUAUCCCUACCUGAUCCGAGGUCAAGAGUAAAAAAUGGGCUUCUGGAUGCCAAUGUACCAGUAGAGAGUACGCAAUGUGCUGCGCUCAAAGCCGGAUUACAUGGCUGCCAAUUGCUUUAAGGCGAGUCCACGCGCAAAUGGCGGGACAAACACCCAACACCAAGCAGAGCUUGAGGGUUCAAAUGAC
rnacentral:misc_RNA from 1 species